CCUACGGGCGGCAGCAGUGAGGAAUAUUGGUCAAUGGACGAGAGUCUGAACCAGCCAAGUCGCGUGAAGGAUGACUGCCCUAUGGGUUGUAAACCUCUUUUAUAAGGGAAGAAUAAUGACUACGUGUAGUCAGAUGCCCGUACCUUAUUAAUAAGCAUCGGCUAACUCCGUGCCAGCAGCCGCGGUAAUACGGAGGAUGCGUGCGUUAUCCGGAUUUAUUGGGUUUAAAGGGUGCGUAGGCGGAAUUAUAAGUGAGUGGUAAAAACUCGGGGCUUCACCUUGAUUGGCCAUUAAAACUGGAGUACUAGAGUACAGACGAGGUAGGCGGAAUAAGUUAAGUAGCGGGGAAAUGCGUAGAUAUAACUUAGAACCCCGAUAGCGAAGGCAGCUGACCAGACUGUUACUGACGCUGAAGCACGAGAGCGUGGGUAGCGAACAGGAUUAGAUACCCCAGUAGUC
rnacentral:rRNA from 1 species